rnacentral:rRNA from 1 species
AGUGAACGCUGGCGGUAGGCCUAACACAUGCAAGUCGAACGGCAGCACAGUAAGAGCUUGCUCUUACGGGUGGCGAGUGGCGGACGGGUGAGGAAUACAUCGGAAUCUACUUUUUCGUGGGGGAUAACGUAGGGAAACUUACGCUAAUACCGCAUACGACCUACGGGUGAAAGCAGGGGAUCUUCGGACCUUGCGCGAUUGAAUGAGCCGAUGUCGGAUUAGCUAGUUGGCGGGGUAAAGGCCCACCAAGGCGACGAUCCGUAGCUGGUCUGAGAGGAUGGACAGCCACAGUGGAGCUGAGACACGGUCCAGACUCCUAUGGGAGGCAGCAGUGGGGAAUAUUGGACAAAGGGCGCAAGCCUGAUCCAGCCAUACCGCGUGGGUGAAGAAGGCCUUCGGGUUGUAAAGCCCUUUUGUUGGGAAAGAAAAGCAGCAGGUUAAUACCCCGCUGUUCUGACGGUACCCAAAGAAUAAGCACCGGCUAACUUCGU